rnacentral:rRNA from 1 species
GAUGAACGCUGGCGGCGUGCCUAAUACAUGAAAGUCGAGCGAACGGACGAGCAGCUUGCUUCUCUGAUGUUAGCGGCGGACGGGUGAGUAAGACGUGGAUAACCUACCUAUAAGACUGGGAUAACUUCGGGAAACCGUAGCUAAUACCGGAUAAUAUUUUGAACCGCAUGGUUCAAAAGUGAAAGACGGUAUUGCUGUCACUUAUAUAUGGAUCCGCGCUGCAUUAGCUAGUUGGUAAGGUAACGGCUUACCAAGGCAACGAUGCAUAGCCGACCUGAGAGGGUGAUCGGCCACACUGGAACUGAGACACGGUCCAGACUCCUACGGGAGGCAGCAGUAGGGAAUCUUCCGCAAUGGGCGAAAGCCUGACGGAGCAACGCCGCGUGAGUGAUGAAGGUCUUCGGAUCGUAAAACUCUGUUAUUAGGGUAGAACAUAUGUGUAAGUAACUGUGCACAUCUUGACGGUACCUAAUCAGAAAGCCACGGCUAACUACGUG